AAAUCCGGUUCACUUUAACACUGAGGCGUGACGACGAGGCACUACGGUGCUGAAGCAACAAAUGCCCUGCUUCCAGGAAAAGCCUCUAAGCAUCAGGUAACAUCAAAUCGUACCCCAAACCGACACAGGUGGUCAGGUAGAGAAUACCAAGGCGCUUGAGAGAACUCGGGUGAAGGAACUAGGCAAAAUGGUGCCGUAACUUCGGGAGAAGGCACGCUGACACGUAGGUGAAGUGAUUUACUCAUGGAGCUGAAGUCAGUCGAAGAUACCAGCUGGCUGCAACUGUUUAUUAAAAACACAGCACUGUGCAAACACGAAAGUGGACGUAUACGGUGUGACGCCUGCCCGGUGCCGGAAGGUUAAUUGAUGGGGUCAGCGCAAGCGAAGCUCCUGAUCGAAGCCCCGGUAAACGGCGGCCGUAACUAUAACGGUCCUAAGGUAGCGAAAUUCCUUGUCGGGUAAGUUCCGACCUGCACGAAUGGCGUAAUGAUGGCCAGGCUGUCUCCACCCGAGACUCAGUGAAAUUGAACUCGCUGUGAAGAUGCAGUGUACCCGCGGCAAGACGGAAAGACCCCGUGAACCUUUACUAUAGCUUGACACUGAACAUUGAGCCUUGAUGUGUAGGAUAGGUGGGAGGCUUUGAAGUGUGGACGCCAGUCUGCAUGGAGCCGACCUUGAAAUACCACCCUUUAAUGUUUGAUGUUCUAACGUGGACCCGUUACCCGGGUUGCGGACAGUGUCUGGUGGGUAGUUUGACUGGGGCGGUCUCCUCCUAAAGAGUAACGGAGGAGCACGAAGGUUGGCUAAUCCUGGUCGGACAUCAGGAGGUUAGUGCAAUGGCAUAAGCCAGCUUGACUGCGAGCGUGACGGCGCGAGCAGGUGCGAAAGCAGGUCAUAGUGAUCCGGUGGUUCUGAAUGGAAGGGCCAUCGCUCAACGGAUAAAAGGUACUCCGGGGAUAACAGGCUGAUACCGCCCAAGAGUUCAUAUCGACGGCGGUGUUUGGCACCUCGAUGUCGGCUCAUCACAUCCUGGGGCUGAAGUAGGUCCCAAGGGUAUGGCUGUUCGCCAUUUAAAGUGGUACGCGAGCUGGGUUUAGAACGUCGUGAGACAGUUCGGUCCCUAUCUGCCGUGGGCGCUGGAGAACUGAGGGGGGCUGCUCCUAGUACGAGAGGACCGGAGUGGACGCAUCACUGGUGUUCGGGUUGUCAUGCCAAUGGCACUGCCCGGUAGCUAAAUGCGGAAGAGAUAAGUGCUGAAAGCAUCUAAGCACGAAACUUGCCCCGAGAUGAGUUCUCCCUGAGACUUUAGGUCUCCUGAAGGAACGUUGAAGACGACGACGUUGAUAGGCCGGGUGUGUAAGCGCAGCGAUGCGUUGAGCUAACCGGUACUAAUGAACCGU
rnacentral:rRNA from 1 species